UACGUAGGGCGCAAGCGUUGUCCGGAAUUAUUGGGCGUAAAGAGCUCGUAGGCGGUUUGUCGCGUCUGCUGUGAAAACCUAAGGCUCAACCUUGGGCUUGCAGUGGGUACGGGCAGACUAGAGUGCGGUAGGGGUGACUGGAAUUCCUGGUGUAGCGGUGGAAUGCGCAGAUAUCAGGAGGAACACCGGUGGCGAAGGCGGUUCUCUGGGCCUGUACUGACGCUGGAGGAGCGAAAGCGUGGGGAGCGAACAGG
rnacentral:rRNA from 1 species